rnacentral:rRNA from 1 species
ACAAUGGAGGAAACUGUGAUGCAGCGAUGCCGCGUGAGUGAAGAAGGCCUUUGGGUUGAAAAGCUCUUUCGUCGGGGAAGAAAAUGACUGUACCCGAAUAAGAAGGUCCGGCUAACUUCGUGCCAGCAGCCGCGGUAAUACGGAGGGACCUAGCGUUGUUCGGAAUUAGUGGGCUUAAAGAGUUCGUAGGUGGUUGAAAAAGUUAGUGGUGAAAUCCCAGAGCUCAACUGUGGAACUGCCAUUAAAACUUUUCAGCUAGAGUAUGAUAGAGGAAAGCAGAAUUUGUAGUGUAGAGAAAAAAUUCGUAGAUAUUAGAAACAAUACCAAUUGCGAAGGCAGCUUUCUGGAUCAUUACUGACACUGAGGAAAGAAAGCGGGGGUAGCCAAGAGGAUUAGCCACCCUGGUACUCCCUGCCGUAAACGAUGUGUGUUAGACGUUGGAAAUUUAUUUCAGUGGCGCAGCAAAACGAUAACACACCGCUGGAGUAGCCAAUU